rnacentral:rRNA from 1 species
AUUGAAGGCUGGCGGCAGGCCUAACACAUGCACGUCGAGCGGAGCAGCGGACGGGUGAGUAAUACCUAGGAAUCUGCCUGGUAGUGGGGGAUAACGUCCGGAAACGUGCGCUAAUACCGCAUACUAUCAGAUGAGCCUAGGUCGGAUUAGCUAGUUGGUGUGGUAAAGGCCUACCAAGGCGACGAUCCGUAACUGGUCUGAGAGGAUGAUCAGUCACACUGUAACUGAGCCACGGUCCAGACUCCGACGGGAGGCAGCAGUGGGGAAUAUUGGACAAGGGGCGAAAGCCUGAUCCAGCCAUGCCGCGUGUGUGAAGAAGGUCUUAGGAUUGUAAAGCACUUUAAGUUGGGAGGCGUUACCAACAGAAUUAGCACCGGCUAACUUCGUGCCAGCAGCCGCGGUAAUUC